rnacentral:misc_RNA from 1 species
UACGGAGGGUGCGAGCGUUAAUCGGAAUUACUGGGCGUAAAGCGCGCGUAGGCGGUCAUCUAAGCUAGGUGUGAAAUCCCCGGGCUCAACCUGGGAAUUGCAUUUAGAACUGGAUGGCUAGAGUACAGAAGAGGGGUGUGGAAUUUCCGGUGUAGCGGUGAAAUGCGUAGAGAUCGGAAGGAACAUCAGUGGCGAAGGCGACACCCUGGUCUGAUACUGACGCUCAGGUGCGAAAGCGUGGGGAGCAAACAGG